AGGACGAACGCUGGCGGCGUGCUUAACACAUGCAAGUCGAGCGGUAAGGCCUUUCGGGGUACACGAGCGGCGAACGGGUGAGUAACGCGUGGGUGAUCUGCCCUGCACUUCGGGAUAAGCCUGGGAAACUGGGUCUAAUACCGGAUAUGACCUCAGGUUGCAUGACUUGGGGUGGAAAGAUUUAUCGGUGCAGGAUGGGCCCGCGGCCUAUCAGCUUGUUGGUGGGUAAUGGCCUACCAAGGCGACGACGGGUAGCCGACCUGAGAGGGUGACCGGCCACGACUGGGACUGAGACACGGCCCAGACUCCUACGGGAGGCAGCAGGUGGGGAAUAUUGCACGAAUGGGCGAAAGCCUGAUGCAGCGACGCCGCGUGGAGGAUGACGGCCUUCGGGUUCGUAAACCUCUUUCAGCAGGACGAAGCGCAGCGACGACGUGCAGAAGACGCGACGCAACUA
rnacentral:rRNA from 1 species